CAGAAAGUAGUUUAAUAGAAUAUUAAUUUUGGAGAUUAACGGUGGAAUAAAAUAUUUCCUUUCUGA
rnacentral:tRNA from 2 species